GGGGGGGGCGGGGGGGGGGGGGGGGGCGGGCGGGGCGGAGGGGGGGGCCCUGCGUUUGUGGGGUGCUCGAGUGGCGAACGGGUGGGUAACACGGGAGUAACCUGCCCUUGACUUUGGGAUAACUUCCGGAAACUGGGGCUAAUACCGGAUAGGAGCUCCUGCUGCAUGGUGGUGGUUGGAACGUUUCGGCGGUUGGGGAUGGACUCGCGGCUUAUCAGCUUGUUGGUGGGGUAGUGGCUUACCAAGGCUUUGACGGGUAGCCGGCCUGAGAGGGUGACCGGCCACAUUGGGACUGAGAUACGGCCCAGACUCCUACGGGAGGCAACAGUGGGGAAUAUUGCACAAUGGGCGGAAGCCUGAUGCAGCAACGCCGCGUGCGGGAUGACGGCCUUCGGGUUGUAAACCGCUUUCGCCUGUGACGAAGCGUGAGUGACGGUAAUGGGUAAAGAAGCACCGGCUAACUACGUG
rnacentral:rRNA from 1 species